AUUUCCUACACACAUUCUGAGUGUGCUCAGGGAUGACAUAUCGAGUUCAACUCAACUCUUAAAGGCUUUUUAGCAGAUGCCUGAAGAUUCUGUUCCAAAAU